rnacentral:rRNA from 1 species
UACGGAGGGGGCUAGCGUUGUUCGGAAUUACUGGGCGUAAAGCGCACGUAGGCGGCUUUUGCAAGUUAGAGGUGAAAGCCCGGGGCUCAACUCCGGAAUUGCCUUUAAAACUGCAUCGCUAGAAUUGUGGAGAGGUAAGUGGAAUUCCGAGUGUAGAGGUGAAAUUCGUAGAUAUUCGGAAGAACACCAGUGGCGAAGGCGGCCUUCUGGACAGUGACUGACGCUGAGACGCGAAAGCGUGGGGAGCAAACAGG